rnacentral:ncRNA from 2 species
ACCUGGGGUAGAGGAGCUGUAAUAAAGAGUAAGUAUAAGGAGCUUGCAAGCUAAGAUUUAUACUAAAAGGUAUUAUGGCCGAAGGAAUAAAUUAUAAUGCAUUAAUUUAUUUCUGGGUAUUCAUAGAAUAUGUGGAUAACUGUCACGUAAGUGUUGAGCUACACGGUAC